rnacentral:rRNA from 1 species
UCGAACGGAGCACCCCUGAAGGAGUUUUCGGACAACGGAUGGGAAUGCUUAGUGGCGGACUGGUGAGUAACGCGUGAGGAACCUGCCUUCCAGAGGGGGACAACAGUUGGAAACGACUGCUAAUACCGCAUGAUGCGUUGGAGCCGCAUGACUCUGACGCCAAAGAUUUAUCGCUGGAAGAUGGCCUCGCGUCUGAUUAGCUAGUUGGUGAGGUAACGGCCCACCAAGGCGACGAUCAGUAGCCGGACUGAGAGGUUGGCCGGCCACAUUGGGACUGAGAUACGGCCCAGACUCCUACGGGAGGCAGCAGUGGGGAAUAUUGGGCAAUGGGCGCAAGCCUGACCCAGCAACGCCGCGUGAAGGAAGAAGGCUUUCGGGUUGUAAACUUCUUUUAAGGGGGAAGAGCAGAAGACGGUACCCCUUGAAUAAGCCACGGCUAACUACGUGCCAGCAGCCGCGGUAAUACGUAGGUGGCAAGCGUUGUCCGGAUUUACUGGGUGUAAAGGGCGUGCAGCCGGAGAGACAAGUCAGAUGUGAAAUCCACGGGCUCAACCCGUGAACUGCAUUUGAAACUGUUUCCCUUGAGUGUCGGAGAGGUAAUCGGAAUUCCUUGUGUAGCGGUGAAAUGCGUAGAUAUUAGGAAGAACACCAGUGGCGAAGGCGGAUUACUGGACGAUAACUGACGGUGAGGCGCGAAAGCGUGGGG